AUACGGAGGGUGCAAGCGUUGUUGGGAAUCACUGGGCGUAAAGGGCGCGCAGGCGGUUUGGUAAGUCAGAUGCGAAAGCCCACGGCUCAACCGUGGAAGUGCAUUUGAAACUGUCAGACUUGAGUACUAGAGGGGAAAGUGGAAUUCCCGGUGUAGAGGUGAAAUUCGUAGAUAUCGGGAGGAAUACCGGUGGCGAAGGCGACUUUCUGGCUAGAUACUGACGCUGAGGCGCGAAAGCGUGGGGAGCAAACAGGAUUAGAAACCCUAGUAGUCC
rnacentral:rRNA from 1 species